rnacentral:lncRNA from 1 species
AUAUCUAAUACUAUACAUAUAAUUAUUGUGGGGCUCAAAGACAACAAUUAAUGCAGAGCUCAUUAAUACAAAACUUAGCCACCAAGAUACAUUCUUUAUAUAUCCCUCACCAGCCAUAUUUCUUCUGCAUCUCCUUUUCUCCCUCACCGGCCACUUUUCUUUCGGCACUAUCUUGCUUCACCUUGCUUUCUUGCUUCUCUUUCUUUUUCCAUUUUUCUUUCGGCACUUUCUUGCUUCAAUGUGAGCACUCUUUCUAUUUUGCUUCUCUUUCUUAUCUUUCUGUUCUUGCUUCUCUUUCUUUCCUCUUUUUUCUUUGUCAGCUUCUUGCACCUUCUUUUCUACAUUUUAAUGAGCAGCAGCUUCUUGCACCUUCUUUUCUACAUUUUAAUGAGCAGCAGCUUCUGUUUCUAUCUGUAAUAUUGGCAUAUUCUUGCUCUUUUCUCUAAGCUUCUUGCUUCCAAUUUUUAUAUUUUUUUUAUUUCUACCUAAACUUUUCAUUUCUACUCUAAGCUUCUUUCUCACAACUUCUUACAUCAUUUUCUUUAUUUUCUUUCUUUUUUAUAUUUUAGUUUUUUUUGUUUCUAUUUUAUAUAUUUUUUUCUAUUUUACAUAUUCGUUCUUUUCUUUCUUAUAUCUUCAGUUUAAUUUUCCAUCCUAUUUUAUGUGUUUAUAACUACAACUUUAGAUUCUUUCUUUCUUUAUUUUUUUUAUAUCUUCAACUAUAUUUUCUUCCUAUUUUAUGUGUUUAUUUCAGUUUUACAUCUUUAGAUUUCUUUUCUGCACUUCUAAACAAAAAUAGAGCAAAACCCCCCCCUAUUUUCUGCACUUCUAAACAAAAAUAGAGCAAAACAUUACUAUAAUCCCAUAUACAACAAACAGGUUUAUGAUAAUGACGAAAGUGCAAAAACACGUUUGAAAUAUGAAUAAAACAUGCAAAAAGAAACAACAGGUUAUCUGAAUAUGAAAUUUCGAAGAGUUUGCAUGAUAUAUGCUAAAUAAGGUUUAAGUAACUUACUCAGUCAAACAAAGGCAGAUUUCGGAGGUAGCAAAAAAGAAUGAUUUUUUUGUUCUUAUUCUUAAUCAAAAAUAAUUUCAAAGAGGCAGCAAAUAUUUCAAAUGGAUUUGUGUUAGCAACAAGUAAUGAUUUUUAGUUCUUCAUAUGUGCUGCCUCUUUGAUUUUUUUUGAAACAGCAAAGUAAACAAAAUUCCUGCAUUUUCUAUGAAACACGAAAAGCAAGAGCAAAUAGAUCUACGGAGAUCUAAAAAACGACAAGUAACAGUUUCAUGUGUAGAUAUUCAGAGAUCUACGAAAAUGAAAAUCUGAAAAACAAUAAACUAAUAAUGCGAAAAAAAAAUAAGAUGUCUGUAUAGGAAAAAAAAAGAAAAGUGAAGCAAUAUCAUCAAAAAAUACCUAAAUUCGUUCUCAAAUAAAAUUUGUGCCUUGGGUUUUUAAAGAACAAAAUGACAAAAAACAUUGGAGCAUAUGCAGACGAAAAUUUGUUGCUAUUGUUUAAAUGAACAAAAACGAUACUUCAGCAAGAAAAAUUAAACAUGGAGAAAAUUAAAAAAAUUAAAAUUAAAAAACGAAAAACUAAUAAACGAAAAAAAAAAUUAGAUCUUAUUCGGUGUUAAAAAAAACGAAUCUGCAAGCAAAAAAAUUCAAAAUUUAAUAUGGAGAAGUAGGCCGAGAUCUGGAGGCUAGGGCUUGGACGACGGCGGCGGCGUAUCUGUGCAGACGGAGGCAGCGGCGNUACAUUCUAAGAGCAUCCGCAAUGGGGUUACAUGAUAGCUUACAUGAUAGCCUAAUUUAUGAUGGGGGAUCACAUGGUGUAAAGAUGCUGCAGUGGGGUUACAUGAUAGCUUACAUGAUAGCAUCUACUUAAUAUAUAAAAACACAAAAACAAUGCACCAAAAUACACACCCACUUUCCCGCCAAAUUGCAUUUCAGCCAAUAUUCUUUUUUGUCUUAUUUGCACGUGCUUUGUGCUGCAAAAUUGUGGCUGCAAUAAAUGACUCAAUAAAUUUUUUACUGUUCAACAUAUCUUUUUCAGAUUAUUUUUGUACGAUUCCUGACAUAUCUAAUACUAUACAUAUAAUUAUUGUGGGGCUCAAUGACAACAAUUAAUGCAGAGCUCAUUAAUUAAAACUUAGCCACUAAGAUACAUUCUUUAUAUAUCCCUCACCAGCCAUAUUUCUUCUGCAUCUUCUUUUCUCCCUCACCGGCCACUUUUCUUUCGGCACUAUCUUGCUUCACUUUGCUUUCUUGCUUCUCUUUCUUUUUCCAUUUUUCUUUCGGCACUUUCUUGCUUCAAUGUCAGCACUCUUUCUAUUUUGCUUCUCUUUCUUAUCUUUCUGUUCUUGCUUCUCUUUCUUUCCACUUUUUUCUUUGUCAGCUUCUUGCACCUUCUUUUCUACAUUUUAAUGAGCAGCAGCUUCUUGCACCUUCUUUUCUACAUUUUAAUGAGCAGCAGCUUCUUUUUCUAUCUGUAAUAUUGGCAUAUUCUUGCUCUUUUCUCUAAGCUUCUUGCUUCCUAAUUUUUAUUAUUUUUUUAUUUCUACCUAAACUUUUCAUUUCUACUCUAAGCUUCUUUCUCACAACUUCUUACAUCAUUUUCUUUAUUUUCUUUCUUUUUUAUAUUUUAGCUUUUUUGUUUCUAUUUUAUAUGUUUCUUUCUAUUCUACAUAUUCGUUCUUUUCUUUCUUAUAUCUUCUAGUUUAAUUUUCCUAU